GACGAACGCUGGCGGCGUGCUUAACACAUGCAAGUCGAACGGAAAGGCCCUGCUUUUGUGGGGUGCUCGAGUGGCGAACGGGUGAGUAACACGUGAGUAACCUGCCCUUGACUUUGGGAUAACUUCAGGAAACUGGGGCUAAUACCGGAUAGGAGCUCCUGCUGCAUGGUGGGGGUUGGAAAGUUUCGGCGGUUGGGGUUGGACUCGCGGCUUUUCAGCUUGUUGGUGGGGUAGUGGCUUACCAAGGCUUUGACGGGUAGCCGGCCUGAGAGGGUGACCGGCCACAUUGGGACUGAGAUACGGCCCAGACUCCUACGGGAGGCAGCAGUGGGGAAUAUUGCACAAUGGGCGGAAGCCUGAUGCAGCAACGCCGCGUGCGGGAUGACGGCCUUCGGGUUGUAAACCGCUUUCGCCUGUGACGAAGCGUGAGUGACGGUAAUGGGUAAAGAAGCACCGGCUAACUACGUG
rnacentral:rRNA from 1 species